rnacentral:rRNA from 1 species
UACGAAGGUGGCAAGCGUUGUUCGGAUUUACUGGGCGUACAGGGAGCGUAGGCGGUUGGAUAAGCCCUCCGUGAAAUCUCCAGGCUUAACCUGGAAAGUGCAGAGGGGACUGUUCAGCUAGAGGAUGGGAGAGGAGCGCGGAAUUCCCGGUGUAGCGGUGAAAUGCGUAGAGAUCGGGAGGAAGGCCGGUGGCGAAGGCGGCGCUCUGGAACAUUUCUGACGCUGAGGCUCGAAAGCGUGGGGAGCAAACAGA